rnacentral:misc_RNA from 1 species
UUAUUGCUAAUGUUAUUUAUGAUGUAAGUUUUCAUCACCUGAGCACAAUCUUUGCUUUUAUCAUAAUUUUUAUUUUUUGGUAAAUAAGUAUGAUGUAAAGAACAUGUAUGAUUUGCUUUUUAUUCAAGGAAUAUUUUUCGUUGGUGUUUCUUGCAGAAAUUUAAAACAAUCUUAAAGGAAAUAUUUGUUAACUCAAUCUUAAAGGAAAUAUUUCUUAACAAUCUUAUUUUAUUUCACUGUUUUACAAAUUAAUCAUGUACAAGUUCUGUUUGCUACUAUACGUAGUGUUGUAGUAGCUGAUGUAGACUUUUGCUCUCUUUACUGUUUGAAUAUCCUUUUCUUUAGUUAAUAAUUUCUUGGAUGGUUAAAAAAAAAGAAUGUGUUUUUAUUGUUUUAUUAUGUUGGCAGAAAAAUCAUCCUAGCAUCAGAACAGUUGUUAAUAAAGUUGGAACCAUUGCAAAUGAGUUCUGAGUGCCAAAGUUUGAAAUUUUGGCUAGAGAAAAUGAUUUGGUCACAGAAAUGAAGCAAUAUGGGGCUAUAUUCAAGCUUGAU